rnacentral:rRNA from 1 species
UACGUAGGGACCAAGCGUUGUUCGGAUUUACUGGGCGUAAAGAGCGCGCAGGCGGUCGUUCAAGUCGCGUGUGAAAGCCCCGGCUCAACUGGGGAGGUCACGCGAUACUGAUCGACUCGAAGGCAGGAGAGGGUAGUGGAAUUCCCGGUGUAGUGGUGAAAUGCGUAGAUAUCGGGAGGAACACCAGUGGCGAAGGCGACUACCUGGCCUGUUCUGACGCUGAGGCGCGAAAGCUAGGGGAGCAAACGGG